AGACAAAAGGUAUCAACCUGUUUUACAAGUGGAUUCCCCCGGAGAAGGGAACUAUAUCAAUGCUGUCACAUUACCUAGCCUGUACACCCAGACCAAACAGUUUCUGACCCAGCUGCCCAUGCCCACUACGGUCAAUGAUUUCUGGAGACUGGUCACACAGUAUAACGUCUCCUUGAUUGUUGCUUUCAAAUCCUAUGAAAAGGACAAGUCCUUAGCUAUCUACUUACCCGAAGAACAAGGCCAGCCGUUACAAUGUGGGAACAUAGCUGUCAAUGUCGAGUCAGUAACAACAGCACCAACAUGGAC